AAUUCAGAUGAGUGCAGCUGCACAAGCUUCUCCUCUUGACUUGGCCAUGUGUCUACUCGGCUAGAAGGGUGAUGAUGAUGGUGAGGAUAUUGUGGGUAUCAAAGAUGCAUUUGCGUCCAUGAAUUUCUGCACAACUAGUGCAUACAGAAUCUCUUCCAAGGCCUUUCUUCUCUCAUUAGUCUUGAGCUCAGCUAUUAUCCUA